AUUGAACGCUGGCGGCAUGCCUUACACAUGCAAGUCGAACGGUAACGGGCCUUCGGGUGCCGACGAGUGGCGAACGGGUGAGUAAUACAUCGGAACGUGCCCGAUCGUGGGGGAUAACGAGGCGAAAGCUUUGCUAAUACCGCAUACGAUCUACGGAUGAAAGCAGGGGACCGCAAGGCCUUGCGCGGACGGAGCGGCCGAUGGCAGAUUAGGUAGUUGGUGGGAUAAAAGCUUACCAAGCCGACGAUCUGUAGCUGGUCUGAGAGGAUGAUCAGCCACACUGGGACUGAGACACGGCCCAGACUCCUACGGGAGGCAGCAGUGGGGAAUGUUGGACAAUGGGCGCAAGCCUGAUCCAGCAAUGCCGCGUGCAGGAUGAAGGCCUUCGGGUUGUAAACUGCUUUUGUACGGAACGAAAAGCCUUCUUUUAAUACAGGAGGGUCAUGACGGUACCGGAAGAAUAAGCACCGGCUAACUACGUG
rnacentral:rRNA from 1 species